rnacentral:lncRNA from 1 species
GUAAGCACGUAAGAUGGGAGGAGACUAUCAAACCUUCUGAGGAAAGGAAAAGAGAAUCCAACCUCUGAGGGUGCAGGGAGCUUGCUAGCUGUAUGCUCCACCAGAGAUUCCGAAAGGUUGAAGUGACUUGAACUUCUGUCACUUUUCUCAAUCAGGGUGCNNNNNNNNNNNNNNNNNNNNNNNNNNNNNNNNNNNGGAAACCCAGAAGCUCUAUGGCUUCCGAGGAUUUUACGACCAGAGAAACCAUUUCCCACGGGAUGAGCAACGAGGUAACUCGAGGGACUAUGCCCUAGUAACUUGCUGCUUAAGUGCUGACGCCCUUCAAACCCCAAGGCCUGUGACCUGGACUCAGACUGCACAUGGUUGUCUUCUCCUGGAAUGUCCCCUUCUCUGCACGAGGAGAACGCAGUCGUGAUGUGUGUUCCAAGCUGACUGCAGAUUGGUGCUCCAUGUUUUAGGAAGUCACAGCAUAGGAGCGGAGCCACGGGUACUCCACGUGUUUACGGGGCUACGGGGCCAAGAACAGGCCCGCACCGGGAGGAUCAGCGUGCGAGGACACUCUCACCUUUCAGGCUCUGUGGCUUUGGUCCUCACACAGGGACGCCUCUGUCGUCAGGUGCGCGAGGGAAGGUCGAGGGACAGGCUGGCCAGCGAAGCAUCCCAUCCCAUCAGCCUUUCGCAGGCCGUGACUCUUGGCCAUGAUAACCUGGUCGGGAAAUGGCCUUCUGACUACACUCGCCUGUCCAUGUUGUGUGACCAGGAGUGUGAGGUGACACACCAGCGCUCGCCAGCAGUUCUCACAUGGUGCUCCCUUUGUCAACUACCAGGGCCGCUUCCAGGGCCAGGCCAGGAGCUGUCCUUGCUCAGCCUUCAUCCCAUGUUUGUGAUCCACUCGACCUCCUUGGCUCCUGAUGAGGGGUUUUUACCUCUGGUAGAUGAGUAUGCAGAGGGAAAGACAGUCCUUUGCCUCUACCUUUUUGUACUGCCCAAAAUGAUAAAUCUUCAGAAAUUUUGUUCAACAGCUUUUCUCCUGUGGGAAAACAUGGCAAGAAAUGAUAAACACUAGGCAGGCUGUUCUCACAUCCUAACCAAGGGCUCCCGAGUUCUGCAGGCCCCUCCUCUGUCCUGACUCUGCUUUGAUUUUCUCAGGACGAGUGGCCCCCUGCCCACAUCUCUUCCUAUUACCUCCGGAAGCCUGUGUGAGCCACCUGCCUCACACCCGUGUGACCCUUUAUCAAAGCCUGGUAUUGACGUACAGAGAGAACAAUGCCUAUCAGCCUUAUUCUAUGAAGGGCAGAAUCGCAGGAGAGGGCCUAGAUUCUGAGAGAACACAGAUCUAGUCAUCUGAACAUCGACUGAAGGCUUGCUGUAUGCCAGAGCAGGCUGGAGACAGCCAGACCAAUAGGACAAAGCCUGUUUUUCUCUCUAGACAUUUUAGAUUGGUGGAUAAUAAGUUAAAAACGAACCGUGUGCUGAGGUGGCAUAUUGGAGUUAGAUAGUCCAGAGAAUAGGAGCCUGGAACCAAGGAGGGCAGCAUAGCUCUGCUCAAAUACUGCAGAGUAGUGCUGGUGAGCACUGCUGCCGUGGGGUCAGGAGAGAACGAGACCCUGACAGAGAGAGAAGAUUCACUUUGACUCUGCUUCCUGGGGUAGAGGCCUUUCUGACAGUCACGUGGCCUGGCUGCAGCUGGUGCCAGUGUGGCAUGGCGGCCUUCAUCCCUGAAGGGCAGACGGGGCUCCCUGGGCCGACACAGGGAUGGCAGGGGCUGUGGACUUCAGUGAUCUACAACUUCAUGGUCUGGAUUUUCAGAACUAGCACCUGAACGGGAAACUUCCCCAGCUCAGAGGUAAUUUCUCACCUGUGAUUUCUACUCCAGUCCAUUUACUUUAACGUCUGCCCUCUGAAAGCAGCACUUUCAUUAAGGCAUGGAAAAUCAUUCCCAGGAAUGCGUUUUCAUCUUAACUCUGCCUGCCUGCCCUCCCUCUGGUAAGUAAUCUUGCUUCUUUCAUUGUUUUCUUUUCAACAAUCAGUCUGAAUUUCCACUCAGGCCUUUUGCAAUGUUCUCAUCAGUAUUUUUUGCAGCUGUUAGAUUACCCCCAAUCCCUAGGCUUCACUAGGCAGAAUAUUGAUAAAUAUUUUUAUUGCAAAGCUAUAUUCCCCAAACCUCAAUGACUUUGCAAAGCACAUUUAAUCAGAAGUGAGGACUUUGAGCUUUUAGUAAAUAUGAAUGUUUACUUUUUCUUGCUGCUACUUAGAAUUUUACUGAUUACACUUUGGACUGCAUAAUUGUGGAAUUAAUCUUGAGAAUGUCAGAAUACAUAUAUUUAAAAGUAAUUUUCUUAGGGAAAUAAUACAUAUCUCAGUGUUUUUCACUGUAAUUGGUAUUCAUGGUCCCUUCAUUUAUAGGUAUAAAGCUUGGCAGAGAUGGCCAAUAUUGGUGCCAUAUAUUAAUAAAAUGGAUUAAUUUUUCCAACACAACUUCCAUUCAAUUUCUCAUUAAACUAAGCAUUGUAAAUUCUGCUGUCAACAGAUACAAAUAACAUGAUUAUGCAAUAUUUGGAUUACUCAAAAUUCUCCCAGCUAGCAUAGUUAUCUGCCAUGCACACAAAUCCAUCCUGGAAGAGCACGUCAAGGUGCAGUUUUCCCAUCAGAUCGGAACCAGCCGCAGUCCAAAUCUUUGCUAUGCACAUGCUUUCAAAAGUAGAACUUUGGGAUCACUCAACUGGGAGUUGCAUCCAGGGAGAGACUUAAAAGAUAAAUUUGAAUUUGCCAUAUUUCUGAAAAAGUUUUCACCUCUUCAAAGAGCAGCAUCAUUUGUCUAACACUGAUGUGAGAAAAUGAACAGAUGAAUGGAUGGGAAUGGCCAAGGGAAGAUUGGGUAAAGUGCAGUGAAAGGGCGUCUGCCAGAGGCUUCCUCAUGUUGCCCACCCUACUGCUGCAUGUGAAGGACCUGCUGUCCACAGAGAGGGCUGGCUCUGCGCCACGCCCGAGUCUGCUCCAGUUUGCCCAAUUUGACAGCUUCUUGACUUUGUUUUUCAAAUUUUCACUUCUGAAGAGUUCUCAUCAGGUAUUUUGCAAAAUAUCUCUCAACUGGCCUUGAGAGAUUUAACCAUCAUUUUACUUCUUGAGAAGAAUACCUCAGUGGUGAAGAAUUCUGCUCUUCACAUAUCAAGCAUCUGACAUAGUACUGAAGAUGGUGACUUCGAUGACUUAGUUAAAGAGGCAUCUACUGGGUUUUCAGUGGCUGUAACUGUGAAGUUACUCUUUUUCCUUCUGUGCUGUAAUCACUGGGCACAAGUCACCAGGUCCUGACUCCAUCAAAGAAACCCACUUACUGUGAUUUUCUUUUACUUUUCAGUGCAUGGUAAUAUUCUGAUGAUGGGUUCACUUUGGAAGCUGGCACAUGCAUUUGAGAUCUUAUCCAGGUUCAAUAGCAUUACUCCAUCCCCUUUUCUUCCCCUUUCUAGCUUGUACCAAUCCCUAACAGUUUAAGUCUUGGCUUCAUACCCAUUUAUUGAUUUAUUUGGUUUCUUCUACAAGAUAAAAAAAUGUAAUAUUUGCAUUUCUGAGCUAGACUAAUUUCAUUCCACAUGAUGGUCUUCAGUUCCAUCUGUUUUCCUGUAAAUUACAUGAUUUCGUUCUUCAUGGUUGAGUAAUGUUCCAGUAUGCAUAUGUACUACGUUUUCUAUAUCCAUUCAUCUGUUGACUGGCAUCUUGGCUGUUCCUAAAGCUUAACUACUGUGAACUGUGCUGCUAGAAACCUGGGUAUGCAUGUAUAGAUGCAACAUAGAUUCCUUAAUCCUUUCAGGAAUAUGCCCACGAGCAGUAUAGACGGGUCAAAUGGUGUUUCUCUGUUUAGUCUUUUGAGGAAUCUCCAUACUGAUUUUCAUGAUGUUUGUUCUGGUUUAUGUCUCCACCAACAAUGCAGGGGGAUUUUUUUCCUGCCAAUAUUCAUUGAUUUUGUUUGUUUGUUUUGUUUUUGUAUUCUUGAUGGUAGCUCUGCUGAAGAGUAAGGUGGAAUCUCAAUAUAGUUGCAUUUUGCUGAUAACUGAAGAUGUUGACACCUUUUUGAACAGUUCUUGGCCAGUUCACCUUCUUCUUUUGGGUAGUAUCUAUUCAGUUCACUUCCCUGCUUGUUGGUUGGAUUCUUUCUUUUAAGGAGAAUAAUUUAAAAAUUCUUUAUAUAUUCUAAAUAUUAAUCCUUCAUCAGAAGAGUAGCUAGAAAAGAUGUUCACCCAUUUGGUGGGCGGUCUCUUCAUUCUGCUAAUUGUUUCCUUUGCUGUGUAGCAUCUUUUUAAUUUGAGGUAGUCCCAUUUGUUGAUUUUUAAUAUUAUUUCCUGUGCUUUGGAGUCCUCUUCAGAAAGUCCGCUAGUACCAAAGGCUCAGUUCCAAGAUUUCUGGUCUUAUAGCUAGGUCUUUGGUCCAUUUUGAUCUGAUUUUCAUACAGGGUGACAGACUAAUCAGACUAAAGGGCUAAUCAGUAUUGUGUGCCUGAAGCAGCACCUUAGCUCGGAGAUGCUGAAACCCAGAGAUAAACAAACAGCAAACAAAUAAAUCAACCUUCUACUGAGAGUUGCUUAGAUUAACUGGGUCUGGAACUCAGUGUUUAUUCAUUUCUGUAAGAGUCCUGUGCGUUCAUAGAAUAAAUAUUUUAUGAUCCAUAGCAUAUGCUCAGACCACAAAUUAGAGUAACACAUGGAUGUUUAAACUAAAUGUAAAUAUAGUUAUGUACAAGGUUUUCCAAGAAUAAGCAUCCACAUGGUUUUUAAGGAGCAUAAAUGAUUUGUGUUUAUAUAUCUGAAAUGUCCUUUCCUCUUUAGAGCUGGAUUCUUAUUCACAGCCUCACUUUCCUGUCUUUCUUAGCGACAUUUGACAUAUUUUGACAUGCUUAGUUGUACUGUGGGAGCUGCCGUGUCUCCCAGACAAACACAGCCACACUGUGUUCCACAGUGUAGGACCAGUGUCACUCAAGACUGGCCUGCUCGUGAGGGUCAGUAGAAGAAACAGUGCAGAGAGACAGGAUGAGCCACUCUGUGCGCCGGCUGGACUCAUCCUUCUCUGAGGACCAGAGGAGUGGUCUUAUCCGAGUCACAUGCCCAGUGUGAACUGGACCAUCAGUCCUUCCACUCCACCGUGUGCCAAGCAGAGGUGAAAAGCAGAUGCUUCUGCGUGAAGGCAGUUGUACCUCGGCUUGCUUUCCUCAAUUCUUGACCAGCUGCAGCAGCAUUUUCUAUGCACAACCUUCAAGCAAAACAGUUAUAAGAAUUUGAUCCUAAUGUGGCAUUUGCCAAUCUAAGCAACAGUUUCUUCCUAAUAGAUACAUCUUUAGAAAAAAGUAAUUUUCUGUACAAAGUAUGUUUUUUGCUACCAGAACCACUGCUCAGAGAUAAUUGUAUAAUAGUAGAGAAUAUAGAAUUUGAAAUUAAAUAGCCUGGUUUGGGUAGUGGCUUCUCACCUUGAAAGUGGCAUAGGAAUCACAAAUGAAACAAAACAGGAGAUGGUGUUUGUUGUGAGCCUGAAGAGAGGCACUAAUGAGCAGCUGGGGAAA